CUAAUGCUGGUGGUACUAGCUAUGGAAAGCUGACAUUUGGACAAGGGACCAUCUUGACUGUCCAUCCAA